GAUGAACGCUAGCGGCAGGCUUAAUACAUGCAAGUCGUGGGGCAGCAGGUUUGUAGCAAUACAGAUGCUGGCGACCGGCAAACGGGUGCGGAACACGUACAGAACCUUCCUUUGAGCGGGGAAUAGCCCAGAGAAAUUUGGAUUAAUACCCCAUAGUAUAAUGAAGUGGCAUCACUUUAUUAUUAAAGAUUUAUCACUCGAAGAUGGCUGUGCGGCUGAUUAGGUAGUUGGCGGGGUAAAGGCCACCAAGCCUGCGAUCAGUAACUGGUGUGAGAGCACGACCAGUCACACGGGCACUGAGACACGGGCCCGACUCCUACGGGAGGCAGCAGUAAGGAAUAUUGACUCAAUGGCCGAAAGGCUGAAGCAGCAACGCCGCGUGGAGGAUGAAAUACUUUAGUAUGUAAACUACCUGUAAGAGGGGAAAAAUAUACAGCUAUGCUGUGUUGAUUGUACCCUCAGAGUAAGCACCGGCUAACUACGUG
rnacentral:rRNA from 1 species